UACGUAGGGGGCAAGCGUUGUCCGGAUUUAUUGGGCGUAAAGAGCGUGUAGGCGGCUUUACAGGUCCGUUGUGAAAACUCGAGGCUCAACCUCGAGACGCCGGUGGAAACCGUAAGGCUAGAGUCCGGAAGAGGAGAGUGGAAUUCCUGGUGUAGCGGUGAAAUGCGCAGAUAUCAGGAGGAACACCGAUGGCGAAGGCAGCUCUCUGGGCCUGUUCUGACGCUGAGGAGCGAAAGCUGGGGGAGCGAACAGG
rnacentral:rRNA from 1 species